UGACCCAGCAUCAGCUGAGGGAUUCACAGUCAUCUUCAACAAGGCUAGGAAUGAGAAAAAGUCAGGUGGAAAGCCAGACUCACCAGCUAGGGAUAGCUCUGGAUUUAAGUCUGACACUGCUACACUUGGAAAGCCUCAGCCUAAAAAAUGGUUUUGCUGCAUGCAAUCUGCUCAAGCAGAAUAAAGAGGUGGCUCUUGUCUUGUAAGAGCAGUCAUUGGAGAGUAUCAUUUAUCUACACCUGGCCCUAGGAUAUAA
rnacentral:misc_RNA from 1 species